rnacentral:rRNA from 1 species
UACGUAGGGGGGCAAGCGUUUGUCCGGAAUCAUUGGGGCGUAAAGAGCGUGUAGGCGGCCCGGUAAGUCCGCUGUGAAAGUCCAGGGCUCAACCCUGGAAUGCCGGUGGAAACUGUCGGGCUAGAGUCCGGAAGAGGCGAGUGGAAUUCCUGGUGUAGCGGUGGAAUGCGCAGAUAUCAGGAGGAACACCAAUAGCGAAGGCAGCUCGCUGGGACGGUAUUGACGCUAAGGCGCGAAAGCGUGGGGAGCAAACAGG